GGGCCGGUAGUCUAGUCUGGUUAGGAUACCUCCCUGACACGGAGGUGGUCGAGAGUUCAAAUCUCUCUCGGCCCA
rfam:Candidatus Nitrosotalea devanaterra genome assembly, chromosome: 1